rnacentral:rRNA from 1 species
AUUGAACGCUGGCGGCAGGCCUAAUACAUGCAAGUCGAGCGAGCGGCGGACGGGUGAGUAAUGUAUUGGGACUGCAUGAUCGAGGGGUAUAACUACUGGAAACGUUGGCUAAUACCGCAUACUACCGGUUAUCCCAUAUGGGAUUAGCUAGUAGGUGGGGUAAAGGCUCACCUAGGCGACGAUGUCUAGCUGGUCUGAGAGGACGAUCAGCCACACGGGGACUGAGACACGGCCCAGACUCCUACGGAGGCAGCAGUGGGGAAUAUUGCACAAUGGACGAAAGCCUGAUGCAGCCAUGCCGCGUGUAUGAAGAAGGCCUUAGGGUUGUAAAGUACUUUCAGCGGGGAGGCGUUACCCACAGAAGAAGCACCGGCUAACUCCGUGCCAGCAGCCGCGGUAAUUC